UUUUUUUCUUCUUUUUUUUUUAUUAAUAUGAUAUUUGUUAAUCUCUGUAAAUACCCCUGUUCAACUUUAAUUUCAUCAUAUAACCCUUUUUAACUGAUACAUCUUAUAACAAAAGUACUAAUUAAAUUCCAUGCUUUAUGUCAGGGGCUCUAUUUCUCUUAUUGAUAAUGAUUCUCUUUUGUAGAAAGAAAUUUUCAAGUGUUCUUCACAAGAUUCCUG
rnacentral:misc_RNA from 1 species